UUUCCUUAUAGUAGAAGCUUGGACAGAAUUAUGUCAGACAACUUCCAGAGCGAAGAUGGUAAUUUUCGUACUGCAAGACUAUUCUUGUCUGGAGAACUCACCCAAUUAUCUGAUGCACUAUAAAAGCUGAUGUCAUUAUUGCUUUCACACUAAUUUUCUACUGCUGUGUUGAGAAAGAAUCUGUGGAGUAAUCAGUGAAAGAAGUUAGCUCUCUGCUGAAGUCCCCCUGCAAACUUUGCUGGUAACCGUAGGAUAUUUUGAGGGGCAAUAUGAGGAGGAAGAGCCAGUGAAGGCCUCAAGAAAGAGGACAAAAAAAGAGUGAAUGACAAGAAAUAUAGGGAUCCCAUAGAAGAGAAGGAAGAAGUGCCAGAAGAAAGAGACAAGAACCAGAAGAAAUUAAAAGAGGUUUUCAGGAGAAAUUUUGAAAACUCAGGAAAAAGAUGCUCUUUGGGUAAGUCUAGUCGCAAGUGCAAUCAAAACACUGAAACAGAAGAGAUUCAUUAUGUACCAUAACCUGCUUAUUGCAAGGAGUGGACAGGGCUGUAUCUUCUCAAAUACUGAAUUGCAUAAAGGAUCAACGAGAUGGUGGCUGCCGUGUUAUUAGUUGAGGGAGACAUCAUACAACCAGGAGAAACACUGCUGCUGCAAGAUCCCUCUGACGUUCUGAUACCAGUGGAGGAGAUAAUAAUCCCAAAUUAUUCUGAACUUUUAGAAUCUAAUAAUCUAGUGAAAAUGUGAAUUUGAUUCCAGUAGGACUAUGUGUCUGAUACUUUCAGAAAACCCCCAAAAGGAUGAAACAUCAAGUGAGUAAUAAGACAGAUAUAUCAGUUCUGUGCUUAUGGACUGAUAAUAUCGCUGCAUCUGAGCCAUGUCCAUAUGUUAACCUUUAAAGCCUAACAUCCUUUUAUGGAUGUUAUCCAGGAGGAUAAGAAAUACCAUUUAUACAUAUAGGAGAAAUGGACAAGUAUGUCAUCCUCCGUCUGAAAGGAUGUUUUUUCUUAUUCAGACCAUAAUAAACAAAUGAAUCUUGAAGAGUCUGGAAAUAAAUCUGAACUACAAGAUAUGUCAGGACUAAACUGGAAGAGUCUGUGAAAUGGAGAUUUAAAGGAGCAAGUGAAGUGCAGAAGAAGAGCAUAAAGCAGCUGCAGACAAAAUGUUGAUAGCCUCGAGGAAAGGAGAAAAAGGAGAUAAAAUCAGGUCCAGCCAUGCCAGUUUUUCACCUUGCUUCCCAUCAGCCUGCAGGUCCAGAGCUGGGAAAUGGAGAACAAAGAAUACUUGAUCUACAGUCAGCCAUUUAGAUCUCAGGGUGGUUGUGAUGGGGAAAACUACGUUAACUGAAGCAGCUGCAGUACCUUCAGAGGUAUUUUAAGCCAGGGCAAAGAUACAGUGUCAUUGUACUUUUGUUCCAAGUUUCCUUGCUUUUUUAAAAAAGGAUUUUUAAUUUAAAAUUUAAAGAAUUUAAAAAAGGAUGGCUGUUCUAAAUUACUUUUAUCCUCCGCUCUUUGCUUCAUACUCUCUCUUCAGAAUUUGCCCCUUCCUAUUUUUUCCUUCCCUAAAUUCACCUGAAAGUAAAACUGUAGAAUAAACAUAGCAUUUUCCAUCCUUGGACUGACCAUUUUCCUUGUGUGUCACUUGCCUUCCCCUCAGCUUGUCUCAAUUCAGUUAGUUAUUAUUUGGAGCAGGGCACUGUCUUUAUGUAUGUGCAGGGUGCAGCAUGAAGUGAACCCAGUGCUGUUUGGUCUCGAGGCACUGUGGUAAUGAAUAAAUAUUAAUAGACCAAAUUUAAUGAGACUCAGAUUCUUCUGAGCAACAGUUUACUAACUAAUGCUAUCUGUAUUUAUGCUUCUCAGUGAGAAUUAAGAAGUUCUGUUUUGGUCUGCUGGUAUUCAGAAAGAACCUAACCCACCAUAAAAGGCUGGACAGAUCUUUGGACAGAAACAGCAGCAGGAAUAUAAAAAUCACCAUUAUUGUAGACAGGAGUGUGAACUAUACACAGGCAAAUUCAAGGCCAGAGAGCUCAGAGCAUAAAAAGUGCUAAAGCAUUUCCUUGCCGUAGAAAUGACCCAAGAAUGACUGGAAGAGGUAGUAAAAUGGGGCGAAAAAUAGCAAGAAAAAUUACUGUCUUCUCACAUUUUUGCAAGCCUUUGUCCUGUAAAACUGUAGUCAACCUAUGAGUGCCCUGCUCCAUCCCUCAGGCCAACAGGAGUUUGGCAGAGGUGGCAGAGUAGCUACUACAGCACUAAUUACUAGUCUCUGAGGAAGAGUACAAGAGUGAUUGAUAGCACUGCAAAUAACAAUACUUGGUAAAUAGUGGCAUGCAGAACUGAUGGCAGGCAAGCUAGGCUUAUUUAUGGGAAGUGGCAGUUCUUAAGGGUUAUGCUGGUGCAUAGUGAAAGAAACCCAACUGUUUCAUUACAGUAUAAUAUUUUAGGAAGAAUUAAAGAAACAUAUAUUCAUAGACACAUACACCCAGAUAAAGGCAAAAUUCUGCACCAACUUUUAUUUUUUGAAUCCAGUACUCAAGACUGGAAGCCACGGUGGUCCAGGUUUUGGUCCAGCUUUAUAAUGCAAAAGCACCUUGGAAGAAAAGGUUAAGAGGAAGCAUUAAUGCUUCAAUACCAAUCAAGAAGGCAAAAAUAGUUCUGGAGUUGCACUGAAUAAUUUAAUUAUUUUAGAGGUUAAUGAACAGAAAGGUGAUCUUUUGCUACAAAAUUCUUGUUGAUUCAAUUGAUAGCUAGGUUUCAGCCAUACCUGCUUUCUGAUAGAGAUUCAUCCAUGAGACAGCGGGUCAGGAUGCUGAUUGCAGCAUUCAGCUUAUUUCUGGUACACUGGCUAAAGGCUUGCAUUACUCUCACAGAGCUGCAAAUGGUUUGUGUACUUAAUUUAUGCUUGCAUGCACAUAACACUCACAAUUUAUGGUCUGUAGGUGUUAAAAGCAGACUUGUCAUGUGUAAUAUGUUUUCUUCUUGAUUGUCAUUGUCUUAGUUCUGUAUUAGUACUGCACUUGCAUUCUCCUCAUACUUAACUGUGGCCAAGAGCCUGCUCAGCUAAAGUAACUCUUAAGUUCGGAUACUCUUCUUUUUCAUAGUGUGACUUCUAAUUUAAGACUUUAAAUUCAAUAAUCUCAACCUUUUUGCUAAAAUUACCUCUUGUAAAAUUUCUUCAUAUGUGCUUCCCCAGAAGUUGAAUACAGUAGGAAAAAUAUAAACAGCAAGAAAAAGAAAAAAGAAAGCAAUAUAGCAAAAGGAAGUUUUUAAAUUAUGUAGCAUGUGCUAUAGAAAAAAAAUCCUCUCUCGAUGUUAAAUAGUUGGCAUAAAUGAAACAAAGGUGUCAAAAAUGCAUUUUUUUGCCAUUUUUCUGAUUAUUCUGCAAACUGGUUUUAGUUCAGUUUGGAAAAAAGAAAAAAAAAGACUACUUUUCCUUUUCCCCCAUGUUUAAUGACAAUGAGCUAUCUCCUUACAAUUUUUUUUUUUAAAAGGACCUUUGGAAGUAAGGAGUAAAGGUGUGAUUCCACUCACUUCUGUGAAAAUGAGAUUAAGGUCAAAAUUUCCUGUUUAGAAAAUUUCAGCCUAAAUUUUCUGGGAAGGCUUUUUAAUCAGUGUGAGACAAAAGAUGGAGGGAGACAGUUUUUGAUCUCUGCUUUCAGGUUUGUACAGCUAUACUUAUGUGUGUGUUCAUAUUAAAAAGAUCUGAAAUUGAUUAUUUUGUGUGACAUCAUGCCUUUUGAUUUAAGUUUUACUGAAAAAUAAAAAUACAAGAGUUCAUCAGAAGAUGAAGGAUAAACUACUAUCUUGAUAGAAACAUUAUCUAAAUCAAGACAGCUGGACAUUGUAAUCAGUGCAGAUAGCAUCUAGGCCAGGAAAAUAAAAUCCACAUAUAGAAUGUUGCUGAAUAUUGCUGAAACACAUACUUCUUCAGAUUUGGAUUAUAGCAAAGUAAAUAUUAUUUAAGUACUUUAAAAUCUGUCUCCUACCUCAUAAGUGUUGAACUUGAUAGAGAGAUUAGUGGAGCAAAUAAACCCUAUGGUUCCUGA